UACGAAGGGUGCAAGCGUUGUCCGGAAUUAUUGGGCGUAAAGCGCGCGCAGGCGGUCCUUUAAGUCUGAUGUGAAAUCCCACGGCUCAACCGUGGAAGGUCAUUGGAAACUGGGGGACUUGAGUACAGAAGAGGAAAGCGGAAUUCCAAGUGUAGCGGUGAAAUGCGUAGAGAUUUGGAGGAACACCAGUGGCGAAGGCGGCUUUCUGGUCUGUAACUGACGCUGAGGCGCGAAAGCGUGGGGAGCAAACAGG
rnacentral:rRNA from 1 species